rnacentral:rRNA from 1 species
CCUACGGGAGGCAGCAGUGGGGAAUAUUGGGCAAUGGAGGAAACUCUGACCCAGCAACGCCGCGUGAAUGAUGAAGGUCUUCGGAUUGUAAAGUUCUUUUCUAAGGGAAGAAGAAAGUGACGGUACCUUAGGAAUAAGCCUCGGCUAACUACGUGCCAGCAGCCGCGGUAAGACGUAGGAGGCGAGCGUUAUCCGGAAUGACUGGGCGUAAGGGGUGCGUAGGUGGUUUGACAAGUUGGUAGCGUAACUCCGGGGCUCAACCUCGGCACUACUACCAAAACUGCCGGACUUGAGUGCAGGAGGGGCAAAUGGAAUUCCUAGUGUAGCGGUGGAAUGCUUAGAUAUUAGGAGGAACACCAGUGGCGAAGGCGAUUUGCUGCACUGUAACUGACACUGAGGCACGAAAGCGUGGGGAGCAAACAGGAUUAGAUACCCUAGUAGUC